UUUUAAAUUUUAAUUUCUUGGGAAAAAAAAAUGUUGAAAUCCAAAAUACCAGGAGAAUGGGCAGUUGGAACUUUAUAGAAAUUUUUAACCAACAAUCUUUCGAAGAUAUUUGGUGGUUAAAGUCUUUCCAGACUUUUAUUGCCCUUUUUCAGGAUCUUCACUUUUUACGAAUGGAACCACAAUGGACCUUUAGUUUUAAAACCACAGAGCUCCGAUCCGGAUGGACUAAUACUUUGUUUUUGCCAUGAGCUUAAAUUUAUAUAUAACAUUGAAAUGUGUUGAUGUUUCUCUUUAUGCGGUUGUUCCACCCGGAAGGGAUAUAGCCAUCUGGUCUAAAAACGCUUGGAUUAGUCGAUAUACUAAAAAAUAAAUAUGGGUAAAUAAGAACAACAAUUAUUAAAUAUUGGGCAUAAUCCACAUAGUUCCAACAUUCAUUAAAAAAAAUAAAAAGUUAUUCGAUCAUAUAAGUAAAAAAAUUAUAUACACUUUUUUAGCCAAAAAAAUCAAAAUUAUCAUAUAAGUCAAAAAAUUAUAUACACAAUUUUAGGUCAAAAUUUUUCCUAAUUAUAUUGUAUUAGAUAUUAAUGUUCUAAAUCAUUAGAUAGUUAGUUUUAGUUUUUAAUUUCGUGAUCCUUUAUCGUUUUUAAAAAAUUUUAGAGAAGUAGGUACAUUUAAAAAUAUACAUUUUAAAAUACUUCUAUUGGUCAAACA